UUUCCGUAGGUGAACCUGCGGAAGGAUCAUUAAUGAGUUGUCAUGGGGUUCGAUGCUGGCAGCCAGUUUUUGGAUGCAUGUGCUUGCCCUAACAAUCAUCUUCUUCCAAACACCAGUGCACAUUUUUGAGGGAGUCUUGAGUUGGUUGCCGCUCUUGGGUGAUUUUCUCACAUUCCCUUAAAUCAUUAUACGCUAUUAACAAUGUUGAACGUGCUCUGUGCCGCAAGGCCAUUAAUAUAAUACAACUUUUAACAACGGAUCUCUUGGCUCUC
rnacentral:misc_RNA from 1 species